CCUACGGGAGGCAGCAGUCGAGAAUCAUUCACAAUGGGGGAAACCCUGAUGGUGCGACGCCGCGUGGGGGAAUGAAGGUUUUGGGAUUGUAAACCCCUGUCAUGUGGGAGCAAAUUAAAAAGAUAGUACCACAGGAGGAAGAGACGGAUAACUCUGUGACAGCAGCCGCGGUAAUACAGAGGUCUCAAGCGUUGUUCGGAAUCACUGGGCGUAAAGCGUGCGUAGGCGGGUUCGUAAGUCGUGUGUGAAAGGCGCGGGCUCAACCCGGGGACGGCAUAUGAUACUGCGAGACUAGAGUAAUGAAGAGGAGACCGGAAUUCUCGGUGUAGCAGUGAAAUGCGUAGAUA
rnacentral:rRNA from 1 species